rnacentral:rRNA from 1 species
GAUGAACGCUGGCGGCGUGCCUAAUACAUGCAAGUCGAGCGAAUGGAUUAAGAGCUUGCUCUUAUGAAGUUAGCGGCGGACGGGUGAGUAACACGUGGGUAACCUGCCCAUAAGACUGGGAUAACUCCGGGAAACCGGGGCUCAUACCGGAUAACAUUUUGAACCGCAUGGUUCGAAAUUGAAAGGCGGCUUCGGCUGUCACUUAUGGAUGGACCUGCGUCGCAUUAGCCAGUUGGUGAGGUAACGGCUCACCAAGGCAACGAUGCGUAGCCGACCUGAGAGGGUGGUCGGCCACACUGGGACUGAGACACGGCCCAGACUCCUACGGGGGGCAGCAGUAGGGAAUCUUCCGCAAUGGACGAAAGUCUGACGGAGCAACGCCGCGUGAGUGAUGAAGGCUUUCGGGUCGUAAAACUCUGUUGUUAGGGAAGAACAAGUGCUAGUUGAAUAAGCUGGCACCUUGACGGUACCUAACCAGAAAGCCACGGCUAACUACGUGCCAGCCGCCGCAGUAA